AGAGUAAAUGAGGAAAAAUUAAAUAUGGUGAUUUUUUAUGAAGAGAAAAAACAUGCACUACCAUCUGAUACUCU
rnacentral:snoRNA from 1 species